AUAUGAAACUUAUUACGUCGUAGGAAAAAUCAAUAUUAAAAGAAGGGGAAUGAUAAAAAUAUUCUGAGUUGGGACAUUUUCUAAUCGUAUACAAUAAUUUUCUGGUAAAAUAGCGCAACGACCAAUCAACAAAUUGUACGUGUUUUUUCAAAUAAAAUAAAAUAAAUAUCUAAAUCGUUGUAUUUUUUUCAAGUCAGUUGAAAAAAAAUCAUCGUCAUUUAAAGUUCAACAUAAUGAAGAUAUUUUUGGUGUAUUUUUUAUUUACUUUUCUUGUGAUUAGUGUUUACGCUAAUGUAGGGGGUGGCAUUCAGGGUGGACUACAUGUUGAUGGUAAUGGUUUACCUAAACUUCUCUCCAAAAUAAUACCUACAGUUAAUUUACAGGGGGGAGCAAACGUCGGCCUUGGUAAAAAAUAAUUAAUACUAAAAAUGUAAAAGUAAUUAAUUAACAAAUGGAAACUGAAAUAAAUAUCAUUUAAAUCUCA